ACGCACGCUGGCGGCAGGCCUCACCCCUGCCAGUCGCGCGCGGACUUCGGUUCUAGCGGCGGACGGGUGAGUAACGCGUGGGAAUGUGCCCUUCUCUACGGAAUAGCCCUGGGAAACUGGGAGUAAUACCGUAUACGCCCUAUUGGGGAAAGAUUUAUCGGAGAAGGAUCAGCCCGCGUUGGAUUAGGUAGUUGGUGGGGUAAUGGCCUACCAAGCCGACGAUCCAUAGCUGGUUUGAGAGGAUGAUCAGCCACACUGGGACUGAGACACGGCCCAGACUCCUACGGGAGGCAGCAGUGGGGAAUCUUAGACAAUGGGGGCAACCCUGAUCUAGCCAUGCCGCGUGAGUGAUGAAGGCCUUAGGGUUGUAAAGCUCUUUCAGCUGGGAAGAUAAUGACGGUACCAGCAGAAGAAGCCCCGGCUAACUCCGUG
rnacentral:rRNA from 1 species